GUCCAAACACUGAUUCCAUCUCAU
rnacentral:miRNA from 1 species